rnacentral:rRNA from 1 species
UACGUAAGUCCCAAGCGUUACCCGGAAUUAUUGGGUGUAAAGGGUCCGUAGGCGGAUCUAUAAGUCAGGUAUGAAAGACCGGAGCUCAACUCCGCGUUUGUGCUUGAAACUGUAGGUCUAGAAUCAGGGAGAGGUUAGCGGAAUUCUUAGUGUAGGGGUGCAAUCCGUAGAUACUAAGAAGAACACCAAAAGCGAAGGCAGCUAACUGGAACUCGAUAGACGCUGAGGGACGAAAGCGUGGGGAGCGAAGAGG